AUUGAACGCUGGCGGCAGGCUUAACACAUGCAAGUCGAGCGGGGGAAGGUAGCUUGCUACCGGACCUAGCGGCGGACGGGUGAGUAAUGCUUAGGAAUCUGCCUAUUAGUGGGGGACAACAUCUCGAAAGGGAUGCUAAUACCGCAUACGUCCUACGGGAGAAAGCAGGGGAUCUUCGGACCUUGCGCUAAUAGAUGAGCCUAAGUCGGAUUAGCUAGUUGGUGGGGUAAAGGCCUACCAAGGCAACGAUCUGCAGCGGGUCUGAGAGGAUGAUCCGCCACACUGGGACUGAGACACGGCCCAGACUCCUACGGGAGGCAGCAGUGGGGAAUAUUGGACAAUGGGGGGAACCCUGAUCCAGCCAUGCCGCGUGUGUGAAGAAGGCCUUAUGGUUGUAAAGCACUUUAAGCGAGGAGGAGGCUACUUUAGUUAAUACCUAGAGAUAGUGGACGUUACUCGCAGAAUAAGCACCGGCUAACUCUGUGCCAGCCGCCGCCGUAA
rnacentral:rRNA from 1 species